rnacentral:rRNA from 1 species
UUGGGUUAAGUCCCGCAACGAGCGCAACCCCUGUGGUUAGUUGCCAGCAAGUAGCGUUGGGCACUCUAGCCAGACUGCCGGUGAUAAAUCGGAGGAAGGUGGGGACGACGUCAAAUCAUCAUGCCCUUUAUGUCCUGGGCUACACACGUACUACAAUGGCCGUUACAACGGGAAGCGAAGGAGCAAUCCGGAGCAAAUCCCUUAAAGGCGGUCCCAGUUCAGAUUGUGGGCUGAAACUCGCCCACAUGAAGGCGGAAUUGCUAGUAAUUGCAGAUCAGCAUGCUGCAGUGAAUACGUUCCCGGGCCUU